UACAAUACACAUUACACACGCUGUUCCUCCACAAUGAUACCCUCCAGGAUGCCUUUCGCCAACCCUCCCUUCCUUCUGCCGACUACCAAGAAGCCCUCAGAUUAUUCGCCACGGUGCAGGAGAAGGCACACAACUAGGUUGCCCAGUCGGUCGUUCGCCGUCGCUACCGGCGAUUUCUUCAUGGGCCUCGCGUGAUCGUCGGUGAGGCGGAGUCCGCCGUCUUCUGGGAGCAGAGCGAGAAGGACGUCGAAGCGGAGAGGGAGCGGUCGAAGAUUACGAGCCCCGGCUUCAGCUUCUCCGCUGCGGGGCUUUCGGUUCCUUUCCAUCUCGGCGUCGUGCAGUUUCUCCUGGAGAAGGGGUACAUUCGGGUAAUGAAGAGGGAAAGAGUUUAUCGCUCUGUGUUGCUUCUGUCGUGUGCAACUGCAAUUGGCUUAUAUCUGUGAUCUUGAUGCCGUUAUUCCCUGUGUUCUGACUCAUGCUUAGACCCAACCGUGUGCUUUUCUGAUUGCCUAGCAAUUUGAUACUUUGGUGAGAACAUCAAAGUUUUAGCUGUUUUCAAGGAGGAGCACCCAUUGUAAAUGGGAAUUCCGCCUAGUUUUAUCUUCGCAGGUCUGAAUUUCUUUCGAGUCUUCGACAAAUUGAGUGCUGACGGAUUUCUUGGUCGGAUGAUUUGUUGCGAACAAAUUCUGCAUAAGUUCUCGGAAGUGCUUGCUUCGAUUAAAUAAUGAACUUCUUUCUUUCUUUUUUUUCUUCCCCCUCCAUGAUCCGAUCUUGUCUCAACUAGGGUUAUGGCUGCAGGAGAACACUCUGUUAGCUGGUUCAUCUUUCGGGGCUAUAGUGUGUGCAGUUAUUGCAUCCGGAAACACCAUGGAGGACGCUCUGCAAUCCACCUUUGGCACUAAUGCUUUUCAAAGUUGCGAUUGAAAUGCAAAAUUGCAAUAUGGCUUUGCAUAAAGUAUUCCCAAAGCGGGCUUUUAUUGUCCUGAAUUCUGGUAGCAUUUGCAUGAGCUUCUUGGCUGUGACGCGCAGUUACUGUGAGAGUCUCCCAGUCCCUCCUUUGUGCUUCCAUGUUAUGGUGAGAAUGGACCUGAGGCUGUCCUGAGGGAUAUACUUGAAAACUUUUUACGAGAUGAUGUUCAUAAGAAAUCAAAUAGUAGGAUAAGUGAUAGGCAGUCAGAGCUGCUUCAGAAUUGUGACCUUCCGACUCCACAUCAGAGGAGAAGUCUGAAGAAUUCCAUGGGGUGAGAGAGGAACAAGCCUGCUGAACCAACAAAAUCUUUUUAGUCAGAUAAUGAUUGUUUUCUGUUACAGAGUCAUAAUGUAUACAACAAGGAGGAAAAUUCAGGAAGACAAGGGCGCUGAUCCUUCUAUGUUUGAGGAGAUAGUUGCACGGGUUAAGAAUUUGAGCUGUGUAGCUACUUUAAAGCAUAAGUUGAAGUAUAAUAUUCAUCAACAGUAAACAUUUCUCACCUUGCUGGCUUUUUCUGACCUUGAGAACACCAACCAGGAACUGAAAAAUGAUAUGAAGGAUCGGUUCAUCAACUCAGCUGUGCAUUAAAGCCAAAUUGACAUCUAUGGGAACCCGAAGGCAGUGGUGAUCCAUGUUCCUUCAAAUUGCCGAAGGCUUUUCUAUAAAAUGGAUUACACAAGAGGAAUCAAAUGUACAAGUAUUAUGGACUAUAUGAUGCUUCAAAUGGUUCUAUAUGAUGUCAAUGACAUGAUUUUUUUUUU